UACGUAGGGCGCAAGCGUUGUCCGGAAUUAUUGGGCGUAAAGAGCUCGUAGGCGGUUUGUCGCGUCUGCUGUGAAAACCUAAGGCUCAACCUCGGACUUGCAGUGGGUACGGGCAGACUAGAGUGUGGUAGGGGGAGACUGGAAUUCCUGGUGUAGCGGUGGAAUGCGCAGAUAUCAGGAGGAACACCGAUGGCGAAGGCAGGUCUCUGGGCCAUUACUGACACUGAGAAAGCGAAAAG
rnacentral:rRNA from 1 species